rnacentral:misc_RNA from 1 species
GUUGAGUUCUUCCUCUUGAGCGCAGGAUAGCCACUGACUCUUCCGAUUAAUUAAGAUAUAGGGACAAGCCAGAGCCAAAGCCAACGCGUCAAAGUCAAGUCAGGUUCAGCAAUCGACAUAACUGGUUCAAAUACCAGAAGCUAGGUCAUAGAAGGUAGAUUCGAUUCGACAAUCUUAAGUAGUGGAGUCAGCCCUUUGCCGAGAUACGAUACUGUCAGCCUCAGCUAAUCACUAGCUUCUGAAAGAAUAAUAUCGUCAAGUCGGAGAGGAAGAAAGGAAGAAGAAUGCCAUCAUAGAGGGAUCAGCAUGUAAACUUGAAGGGCUAGGG